rnacentral:rRNA from 1 species
UACGUAGGGGGCGAGCGUUGUCCGGAUUCAUUGGGCGUAAAGAGCUCGUAGGCGGCUUGGUAAGUCGGGUGUGAAACCUCCAGGCUCAACCUGGAGACGCCACUCGAUACUGCCAUGGCUAGAGUCCGGUAGGGGCCCACGGAAUUCCUGGUGUAGCGGUGAAAUGCGCAGAUAUCAGGAGGAACACCGGUGGCGAAGGCGGUUCUCUGGGCCUAAUCUGACGCUGAGGAGCGAAAGCGUGGGGAGCAAACAGG